rnacentral:rRNA from 1 species
AAAAACAUGUCCUUUUGAUUAUUUAUUUAAGGUCUAUCCUGCUCUAUGAAGAAUUAAAUGGCCGCAGUAUUUUAACUGUGCGAAGGUAGCAUAAUCAUUUGUCUUUUAAUUGAAGACUUGUAUGAAUGGUUGGUUGAGAAAUUAUUUUUAUUUAAUUAAAUAGAAGAAUUUAAUUUUUGAGUCAAAAAGCUUAAAUUAAAUUAUAAGACGAGAAGACCCUAUAAAACUUUAUUUAUAUAUAAAUAUAUCUUUUUAUAAUAAAAAGAUAUAUUUAUAUAUAAAUUUUAUUGGGGUGAUAGUAAAAAUAUUUAAACUUUUAUUUUUUUUUUCAUUUAUAAAUGUUUUUUUGAUCCAUUUUUAUUGAUUAUAAGAUUAAGUUACUUUAGGGAUAACAGCGUAAUUUGUUUGGGGAGUUCAUAUCUAUAAAUAAGUUUGCGACCUCGAUGUUGAAUUAAGAUUAGUUUUAGGGGUAGAUUUUUAUAAAACUAGGUCUGUUCGACCUUUAAAUUCUUACAUGAUCUGAGU